AAGCAUGUUCCCAAGGUCUGUGGCUAAUAGUGGCCAUGGGAUCUCCAACUGCAUACUAGAGUAAUGUCGAGAGUCUUUGACAGCACAGGUACCAGUACUUGUAGCCGUCACUCACCUUUUCUAUUAAA